CCUCCGGGGCGCAGCAGUGAGGAAUAUUGGUCAAUGGGCGGAAGCCUGAACCAGCCAAGUCGCGUGAGGGAAGAAGGCCCUACGGGUCGCAGACCUCUUUGGACGGGGAGCAAGGCCGCCGACGUGUCGGCGGAAGGAGAGUACCCGUAGAACAAGCAUCGGCUAACUCCGUGCCAGCAGCCGCGGUAAUACGGAGAAUGCGAGCGUUAUCCGGAUUUAUUGGGUUUAAAGGGUGCGCAGGCGGCACGGCAAGCCGGCGGUCAAAUCGCGGGGCUCAACCCGGUCCCGCCGUUGAAACUGGCGAA
rnacentral:rRNA from 1 species